CUUUGUCAUUAAACGUGAUUCCUCACUUUCGUAAUCGUUAUCCUGUUGGAAUAUCUGUGGAUACGAAAGUUUAUAAUUUGUUAUUGGUCCUAUUAUUAUUCAUGAGUUACGGACUUUGAAGGAGAAAAAGGGACGUAGCGGUAUGUGUUGGAACGGUAUGAGUGGAAUGGACUGGAAUGGGAUACGCUCAACGAUGCGAGAGAUGGAACAUUUCUACUUCUGAGAAGCCGCGUGUUAUGCGAUCGUUGCCCAUUCAAUGGCGUAGCCAUUGUAUGAUGCCGGGAAGAACUCCUACUCCGUCUCAGUUUGAAGAAACGAAAACUAACAGGAAAUAUAAUAUGUAAUAUCUCUUAUCGAAAUCAACGAUACAUUGGUAUACUACAUUUAUUUCACUUUCUUCGUGAUUGUAAAGGUAUAACGACAAAGUAAAUCGAAAGUUCAUCGGUAAUCUUCUCCCGGAAAGAUAAGUAAAUUACGGAAGAGGCACACACGUUUAUCUUAUCAAAAUGAUGAAGUAUGAGAAUUGCGAGAGGAGAAGAAGAGCGGGUACAAAACGCGGCGCUCACUGUUCAAAGGCGUACACCACUAUGUGUAUAGUUGUGAAUCGGUGAAGUUCUGUCCCACUAUAAUGGGCCAGUGGCGGCGAGGUGAAACGGUUGGAGAGGUAGCACGCCGGAUGACAGAACACUACGUCAUUGUAUAGCUUCUAUUAUGGCGUAUCACGGCUUAGGCUUUUAUUUUGUUCUC